GGGAGUAUAGCUCAAUGGUAGAGUAUUUGACUGCAAAUCAAAUGGUCCUUGGUUCAAUUCUAAGUGCCCCCU